AGAGUUUGAUCAUGGCUCAGAUUGAACGCUGGCGGCAUGCCUUACACAUGCAAGUCGAACGGCAGCACGGGAGCAAUCCUGGUGGCGAGUGGCGAACGGGUGAGUAACGUAUCGGAACGUACCUUUCAGUGGGGGAUAACGUAGCGAAAGUUACGCUAAUACCGCAUAUUCUGUGAGCAGGAAAGCAGGGGAUCGCAAGACCUUGCGCUGAUUGAGCGGCCGAUAUCAGAUUAGCUAGUUGGUGAGGUAAAGGCUCACCAAGGCGACGAUCUGUAGCGGGUCUGAGAGGAUGAUCCGCCACACUGGAACUGAGACACGGUCCAGACUCCUACGGGAGGCAGCAGUGGGGAAUUUUGGACAAUGGGGGCAACCCUGAUCCAGCCAUGCCGCGUGAGUGAAGAAGGCCUUCGGGUUGUAAAGCUCUUUCAGCCGGGAAGAAAUCACAUGGGUUAAUACCCUGUGUGGAUGACGGUACCGGAAUAAGAAGCACCGGCUAACUACGUGCCAGCAGCCGCGGUAAUACGUAGGGUGCGAGCGUUAAUCGGAAUUACUGGGCGUAAAGCGUGCGCAGGCGGUUUGUUAAGAUAGGCGUGAAAUCCCCGGGCUCAACCUGGGAACUGCGUUUAUGACUGGCAGGCUAGAGUAUGGCAGAGGGGGGGUGGAAUUCCACGUGUAGCAGUGAAAUGCGUAGAGAUGUGGAGGAACACCGAUGGCGAAGGCAGCCCCCUGGGCCAAUACUGACGCUCAUGCACGAAAGCGUGGGUAGCAAACAGGAUUAGAUACCCUGGUAGUCCACGCCCUAAACGAUGUCAACUAGGUGUUGGGUGGGUAAAACCAUUUAGUACCGGAGCUAACGCGUGAAGUUGACCGCCUGGGGAGUACGGCCGCAAGGUUAAAACUCAAAGGAAUUGACGG
rnacentral:rRNA from 1 species